rnacentral:misc_RNA from 1 species
CAGAAACAGUGUGUAAACAGUAACACUCUGCAUUGGGUAUUUUUGGUACAUCUUGAACAACCCAUGAAGUGAGAAAAUCAUGAAUCACAACAACUCUUCUCGAUGUUGAAGCCAAUUUAUUUACCAGAUCUGUAACUGGUUCACGGAGUUGCAAUGAAGAAUUGAAAGCAGGAACAAGUUGAGAAGGGAAUUUGAUGGAUGCAUCUGGAUUAGGAGGAGGUACCUCGAAUGUUACCGG